UCGCUACUACCGAUUGAAUGGCUUAGUGAGUCCCUCGGAUUGAUAAUUGUUUUUUGGCAACAAAAAACUUUGGUUAAAAAGUUGGGCAAACUUGGUCAUUUAGAGGAAGUAA
rnacentral:rRNA from 1 species